rnacentral:lncRNA from 1 species
CUCCGUGACGGGACAGUCUCUAGGCCCGCCUCUCCACCUGGUGAUGGUCAUUGUCUCCCUGAACAGGGAUGGAGGAAAUAACAUCCCAAGAAGCAGCAGAAUCACCAAGGGUCCAGUUUCAGUCUUUGGAGAGCCAGUCUGAAUGUCUUUCCCCAGAGCUUCGGUUUCUGCGGGACACAGAGAUGGAGCAGGGAUACACUGAUGCUCCACCUGUUCCCCAGGUGCCUGCCCUUCCCCAUGAGGGAAGCCCAGGAGACCAGGCAGCUGCGCUCCUGACAGCCAGGUACCAGGAGUUUGUGACAUUCGAGGAUGUGGCUGUGCAUCUUACUCGAGAGGAGUGGGGAUGCCUGGACCCUGUUCAGAGGGAGCUCUACAGAGAAGUGAUGUUAGAGAAUU